rnacentral:misc_RNA from 1 species
GAACGCACCUUGCACCCUUUGGUAUUCCGAAGGGUACGCCCGUUUGAGUGUCAUUGUAAUCUCACAUCAACAACUUUUGUUGUGGAUGGUGGAAUUGGACGUCUGUCGUGUUAUACGACUCGUCUGAAAUGUAUGAGUGUACCCUGCCUUGCAGCGUAUCCAGUGUGAUAAGCAUCUUCACUGGUUUGGCCUUUAUUGGCGACGCCUUGGCCACAGGUAGUAUGCUUCUAACCGUCCCUAUGGACAAUACCUUGACAAUUUGACCUCAAAUCGGGUGGGACUACCCGCUGAACUUA